AUCAUUUGAACAGCUUCAAUGACUUUAUGCAGUUCGAUUAAUACAGCAGUAAACAGAAGCCAGUUUAUGAAAUUAUUAGAUUUGAGAAGUUUGGAACUGUAGGAAAAAUACAAAAGGACAGAUAACCCUGAAUCUCAAACUGCAUCUAAAAUGGACCAUUUAGACACCGAAGAUGAUGAUAAAGGCGAAGAUGAGGAUGGAUGUGAUGAAUGUGAUGGAUACAGCAUAUCAAAUUUUUAUAAGGAACAAAAUAGUGAAACCAAAUGGAUUAAAGCCCACAUGAAAAAGAAUUGUAAAGGACACCAAUACCUCCAUCCGUUGUACGCGGGAAAACUAAGCUUCAGUCAUUUUGGAUCGCACCGCCUCCGCAGUCGUAAUCCAAUGUGUACUUGUGGAAAACGCAUGA